rnacentral:rRNA from 1 species
GAUGAACGCUGGCGGCGUGCCUAAUACAUGCAAGUCGAGCGAACAGACGAGAGUGCUUGCACUCUCUGACGUUAGCGGCGGACGGGUGAGUAACACGUGGGUAACCUACCUAUAAGACUGGGAUAACUUCGGGAAACCGGAGCUAAUACCGGAUAAUAUUUAGCUUCGCAUGAGGCAAUAGUGAAAGACGGUUCUGCUAUCACUUAUAGAUGGACCCGCGAUGUAUUGGGUAGUUGGUGAGGUAACGGCUCACCAAGGCAACGAUACAUAGCCGACCUGAGAGGGUGAUCGGCCACACUGGGACUGAGACACGGCCCAGACUCCUACGGGAGGCAGCAGUAGGGAAUCUUCCGCAAUGGACGAAAGUCUGACGGAGCAAUGCCGCGUGAGUGAAGAAGGUUUUCGGAUCGUAAAACUCUGUUGUAAGGGAAGAACAAGUACGUUAGUAACUGAACGUACCUUGACGGUACCUUACCAGAAAGCCACGGCUAACUACGUG